rnacentral:rRNA from 1 species
UACGUAAUGUGAAUUGCAGAAUUCAGUGAAUCAUCGAAUCUUUGAACGCAUCUUGCGCCUCUUGGUAUUCCGAGGGGCACACCCGUUUGAGUGUCGUGA